rnacentral:lncRNA from 1 species
AACGGGUCGUACGUUAGACCGUCGCAGAAUGAGUCGUCUGUUAGGCCGCAUCUGAUGAUGAAAGCGGUAGUCGUACGCCAGACUACACUUCAGAAAUGUACCGUACGUUAGGUAGCAUCUGAGGGUUGUAAGAUCCAAACGGGUCGUACGUUAGACCGCGUUGGGGUUGUUGAAGUUCAGAAUGGAUCGUACGUUAGAUCGUAUCCGAGUUGUAGAAUGAGCCGUCCGUUAGGCUGCAUCUGAAAAAGAAAGUAGUCGUACGCUAGACUACACCCCUGAAUGUACCGUACGCUAGGCAGCAUCUGAGGAUUUGAAGGUCCAAAUGGGUCGUACGUUAGACCGCAUUGGAGUUGCUGAAGAAGUCAUAUGUUGGGCUGAAUCAGAAUGAACCGUACGUUAGGCUGUAUCUGAUAACCUGUAUAUGUUGUACUUGCAAUAAAUGUCUGGGAUGGGCUUAAAGAUGCCAUCGUUAGGAGGAUAUCGAAGUGUUGUCAGAAUGAAUGUUCCCAUGAACUGUAUUUGAAAUAUGUAUCUGAAUCUUGAAUGUGAUUGAUAAAGGUGUCUGUCUGAAUGAACCUUUUAUUUUGACUAUAUCAGGAGGAUAAAUAACCUGCAAAGAAAAGUUAGCUUCAUGCUAUGUCAUGAUGCAUGAGAUGUUUCGUGUUAUGCUAAAAUAAAUGCGAAUGUUGUAUGCAUGCGUAUGCUGUGAAAUGAUGUAAUGAAUGAGUUAUGCGUAUGAGAAGUUCUGCUUGGGGACUCUACUGGGGAAAAUAAAUCCCCAUCUACUGAUUGGAGAUAUUUGUAACGAUGACCCUUUCUCGGCAGGGGGUUCUUGAUUCUGUCUGAUGGUAGAAAUAUUCCACAGAGCCUGGCUGAGGAUGGAUGAGAUGAUCAAUCUGUCUGAUGAUGCCGACCUCUGUUGGGGAGUAACUGGCUGUGCCGGGGAAUACUGCUAAUUUCUUCUGAGGAAUAACAGACUUGCUGGGGGAAUAGAAUUGGUAGCGGAUUCAUUGGAAGCAUGGUUAGACCUUCUCCUCGAUCCUGAAGUCGGGUAGUAAUUGCUAUUGCUAUUCUACGCAUAUAUUUUGGUAAACAUUUGUCAUAUUCAAAUGCACAUAUUAAUUCAAAUUAAAUCAAUGGACAUUUACGCAACCAAAACAGAAAAGUAAAAACAAAAGCAUCUUUUUUUUGAAAGAGGGUUGUAUUGAUUUUGAAAGGAGGCCUAUAAACAGGCAAUUUGUGUACAAGGAGACAGAAAUCCUAGUAAGAGGAAAU